rnacentral:lncRNA from 1 species
GAUCGAUACACUUGAAGAUUGAAGUAACAAAUUAAUUAAUGCUGAAAUAGAAGAUAAAGAUGCAUUUCCUCAAGAAUGUAGUACAUGGUAGUAAACUUGAAAGAAUCCUAAUUAUAUAUAUUUAAAAAAAAAUAAAAUUGAUAAACACAAUAUAUAAUAUUGUGUUUUAAAUUGAUACAAACAUAAUUUUUUCCUGACAUACAUGUAACUGGAACCACACAAAUUUAUAUUUCGCGUAAAAAAUAAGUAGCAUUGCAGUUGAGACAACUGUCAAAUAAACAUUAUACAAUCAAAAUAAAGUGAAUUUAGGUACUUUUGCCUUUGAAAUUGAAAAAUAAUUGGAAUUGAAAAUUUUGCAUUUUUAUGCCCCACCUACGAUAGUAGAGGGGCAUUAUGUUUUCUGGUCUGUUGGUCUGUUCGUCCGUCUGUUCGUUUGUCUGUUCGUUUGUUCAUCCAUUCAUCCGUCUGUUCGUCCCACUUCAGGUUAAAGUUUUUGAUCAAGGUAGUUUUUGAUGAAGUUGAAGUCACAUCAACUUGAAACUUAGUACACAUGUUCCCUAAGAUAAUGAUCUUUCUAAUUUUAAUUCCAAAAUAAAGUUUAGACCCCAAUUUCACGGUCCACUGAACAUGGAAAAUGAUAGUGCGAGUUGGGCAUCCGUGUACUAUGGACACAUUCUUGUUGAGUACUAAUACACAUUUUAUGUACAUUUUGAACAUUUAGACCUGUUACUAACUUGAAAAGGUGAUGAUUGUAUUUACAUUGGAAACUUAAAAGUCAGCAGGGUCUUAUUCAUAUGUAUAUCUUUGCUUGUUAUACACCACUUUCAACACUAUUGGGCUAUUUCAUGGCAGAAAUUGUUUUUUAUGGUUGAGGAAAUCAGAGUGCCUGAAGAGAACAUUCAACCUUCUAACAUGGCCAGAAUAAUAAAUUAUCCCUCUUUAAUAAGAAUUGUACCCAAUGUACUGCUGUUCAAAGACUAUUUUUGUUGAUGAGCCUGGGACUUUUGUCGCAAAAGUGAGACAUAGUGAUCCUACAUUCUGUCGUUCGAGACAUUGGGUUCCACUGAAACUUCCAAAUUUUCAUUUUAAUGUAUUUUUAUGCCCCACCUACGAUAGUAGAGGGGCAUUAUGUUUUCUGGUCUGUGCCUCCGUUCGUCUGUGCUUCCGUCUGUGCCUCCGUCUGUGCGUCCGUCCGUCCGUUCGUCCCACUUCAGGUUAAAGUUUUUGGUCAAGGUAGUUUUUGAUGAAGCUGAAGUCCAAUCAACUUGAAACUUAGUAC